UCCUCGGUAGCUCAGCGGUAGAGCAACCGGCUGUUAACCGGUUGGUCGCUGGUUCGAAUCCGGCCCGAGGAGCCA
rnacentral:tRNA from 1 species